rnacentral:rRNA from 1 species
AGAUUGAACGCUGGCGGCAGGCCUAACACAUGCAAGUCGAGCGGUAGAGAGGUGCUUGCACCUCUUGAGAGCGGCGGACGGGUGAGUAAUGCCUAGGAAUCUGCCUAGUGGUGGGGGAUAACGUUCGGAAACGGACGCUAAUACCGCAUACGUCCUACGGGAGAAAGCGGGGGACCUUCGGGCCUCGCGCCAUUAGAUGAGCCUAGGUCGGAUUAGCUAGUUGGUGAGGUAAUGGCUCACCAAGGCGACGAUCCGUAACUGGUCUGAGAGGAUGAUCAGUCACACUGGAACUGAGACACGGUCCAGACUCCUA